rnacentral:misc_RNA from 1 species
CUGCGUGGGCUCACGAGCCUUCCCGGUGUCGCGAAUAUGCCGCAUGGGAGCCCUCACGAUGGGUUUGAUGGUCGCGAGCGCGAGGUGUGCUUGCUGCUGCGACGAUGAGACAAGAGAGAGCGGGGAAGAGGGCUAAUGAAUGGGCUCGCAGGUAUGCGCACUCUACCGGCAUGCGCACAUACAGUGACGCGCGCGUGCUGAUGGCGGAUACAUGCACACACACACACACACACACACACACACACACACACAUACUGCACACAACGUAAGCUUAAGUGCGCGGCGCUAUUCUCUUCUUGUUUCAACGAUUUCUCGCUCUUGCUCUAUUUUUCUUUGCUCCUUAUUCUCUCUCUCUGUGGGUGUGCGUGGAAGUCGCACGCGCGCAACACACGUUUGAUUUCACGAUGCCGUGGAUCUUUAUGUAUUUCGGUUUCUCUUUUACCUGCUCGGCAGGUUCUUGGAGUUGAUGGCGUGCGUCUCGCCCGGAAGUGUGCGCGCGUGUCUUCUCAACGCAGACAGCAGCUGACCGGCGCUCCAUGCGUGUGGGUGAGUGAGAGAGGAAGAGCGGUGGGAUCCAGCGCGGCAGCGGAGGAGGGCAGUCGCAGAGAGAUACAUGGACGCACAUACACGUAAGGAAGCACCGCGUGCUCGCAAAUGCGUUCUGCUGCAAGAGGGGUGUGACGGGGGUAGGUGGGUCUUGGGAAGCGGAGAAGAGGUGUCGGUGGGUGCCGUUGCUGGUGCCAUCGUAGCAGGCGAAAGAACGACAGAGAAAGGGAGGAGGCGAAAGAGAAGGGGCCAACCACGAUGGCUUCUUCUCUAAGCGUAAACUCGCCGACGCUAUUCUCUCUUCUUUUGUUUCCACACCUUCCAACUCCCGUGACUACAUGCGCGUGCGGCACGCGCUGAUGGGCGCUCAUUCCUUUUUUUUUUUUCGCUUUGGUUGGGCUUGUUUGCGAGUACGUGAUGGUUUCCUGCCGGAGUUGUGCAUGGCGUCAGGGCAGGUAGCCAAGCGAAGGGAGAGCGAACUCUCUCUCUCUCUCCCGUAUUUCUAAUCUUUUCAUUUGUGUCUCUUCUCUCUUCUUCACCGCUUCCCUUUGUUUUUCUUCGGUGUCGAAGUGGUGGUGGUGGUGGUGAUGGCCGAAGGAGGAUGGAUGUUGGACAGGGGGCGGGGAGAGGUCGGCGGGGAGGUAUGCGAUAGAUACCGAAAGAGCGCACUGCAUUUGAUCUGUCUGAGAAAGACUACAAUGGAGGUGUGAAGAUACGGUGGUGAGUGCUGCGAUGGGGCUGCGCAUGUCCUCCCUCAUGUGUUGCCUGUGUCGCUUGCAGUGCUCCGUCACGCGCGACUGAGGCUUUCACUGACUGCCGCUUCUCUCUGCCGUCGUUCCCGCCACCUUCACUUGUACAAAAGCCCUACGACAGUGGCGCCAUCCAAUCAAACGCGCCCAGACAUCAAUUCACACACACACACACGCCAACAGACCGGCAGGCUGUUGCUGGAGCGGCCGGCGACUGUGAAGGCGCUUGUGCCGUCCGCGCGAUGGGCCGAGCGUCAGCGCGGCUCGCGCGCACGCCACCCGGUGCUCGCUGCCUGCUGGCGGGGAGCCUUUAUGCGACCCCGAGGGGGUGCACCCGGUGGCGGUGGGCGGGUGGGUGGAUGGGGGGGCACAAUGGGCGCGGCUGCGAGGCGGCCUGCGGGGCGCGGGUGGUGUGCCGACGUUGAGGCGGAGGCCGCGCCCCGGCGACUGUGGCGGCGCAUUGCUGGGAGGCGUGUGUGUCCCGCUGCUUCGCGCCGCGCGAUGACGGUCCUGUGCGGCCGGGCCGGGGGCCAGAGUGGUGGUGGGGGUGGCUGGGCUCAUGCUCCAUGGCGGCGAAUGACCGCGUUGAAGGGAAGGAGAAGACACAAAUUUGCGUGCCUCGCUGCUCUUGUCCAGUUUCUCGCUUCCUUUUUCAACGCGAGACGGUGGCUGCCCACCCAUUUCCGCCCCCGCUGGUGCACGACGUCGAAAGGCGUGCGUCGGUCGAGUGCGCUCUGCUGUUGGUUUGUGGUGUGUUUGUGCGUUGCACUGCAUUGUCUCGUGCCCUCUUGGCUGUGUUUCUAUGGUCUGCUGGACGUGAUGUCGCUCCCCCGAAUCUGCGGACGGCGCACAGGCGACGGCACACGCCAAGAGCAAUGAACAG